UAUAUAUAUAUAUAUAUAUAUAUAUAUAUAUAUGCUUAGAAAACAGGCAAAAAGCGAGCAACCUCUAGAGGGCCAAGCCUCAGGAACCAGAGCAAUUCUCCCAGCAGACCAGAUCCAUUUAUAGAUUCACAGGUCACUUCCGCUGCUGCCUUCCUCCAGUUGCCACCACACCCUGGAACACUUAUUCAGAUUCUAACAGGAGACUGUCUCAUUAGCCAAGCUGAAGUCGAUUCCCUGCCCCUGAACUAGAGAAAAUGAAUUUGGUUCCACUUGCUUGCCAGGUCCUAGGAAUGCACACAAUGGCACACUUCUAACGUGAGAAGAAGUUUUAAUUGUCAUGGUACCUUGUCAUGAUUGGAUACUGGAUAACCAAAAUAAUAAUAGUAAUAAUAACUAUUCAUUAUAUGAUCCAUCUCCCCAUCCAUGCACCUUCCCCCCCAUCCAUCUAUUCAUCCAUUCAUCCUUCCACUCACACAUACAUACAUACAUAUUUGCCAAUAAACACACAUCACCAGAUUUCAAUCAUGUUCUUUAUAUCCAAGAGCCCAUAAAAAAUGAGACUUUCAGAGACAGCUUUUAUGGACCUAAUUUUCCCCAAGGCUUAUGUCUCCCUGAGCAGUAGAUAAAAAACAUUGCAGCCUGAAAAGAAUUGACUUGAAAGAAUUAGAGCCCCUGCCUAAAUGCCUAACAUAAUACAAAGGAGUUGACUCCAGCCCCAGGGUGAAUGGGAUCUUACGUUUUAUAAAGCAAGAUAUCUGUUAUGAUAACAGGACAAAAUGGCUUUGGUCAAAUCUCAAAUCUACUGCAUCUAAAGCAAGAAUGUCACUCUCAAAUUCAGAUUAAAAAUUCAUACAAAAUGCAAACAGUGUGUACAAAUUCUGUUUAAAAUUCUCUUUACAGAACCAAAUGAGUUGCCAUUGCUACUAAGCUCCUGUUCUACCUGAGAUGUAUUUAACACUUUGAGCAGAGUUUAAGUCUUUCUUCUGGAACUAAUAACCUCACUUAAUUUGUAAUUUCCAUAUGAGAACUGACUCAAAUUUUUUUCUUAAAUCACAUUAUAAUUCAGUAAAAUUCCAAAUUGGCCCUUGGGAUCCCCUAUUAUGACAGCCUCCACAAAAGAUUCUGUAUUUUAAAGGAGUUCAUAGUUUUGGCAUUUUAAUGUCAUGUUUUUCAGGAAUCAAAAUUCAGUCACCAAAAUGUGCUAUAAUGCAGUUAUAACAGACACACUCUUGCAUCUACCUCCCACCCCUGACUGUUUAGGUGCAAGGCACCAUACUAAGAUAUUUACAUAAAUCAGUUCAUUCAGUCCUCACAACAACUAUGACAUAGGCUUUUUUUUUUCUUUUCCAUUUUAUACAUGGGAAAAUUGAGACUUGCAACAUAAGCUAUUUACCUAACUUUACACAUAUAAAUGAUGAUACGGGAAAUCAAACCCAGUAGUCCUAGUCU
rnacentral:lncRNA from 1 species